rnacentral:rRNA from 1 species
AGUGAACGCUGGCGGUAGGCCUAACACAUGCAAGUCGAACGGCAGCACAGGAGAGCUUGCUCUCUGGGUGGCGAGUGGCGGACGGGUGAGGAAUACAUCGGAAUCUGCCCAGUCGUGGGGGAUAACGUAGGGAAACUUACGCUAAUACCGCUUACGACCUUCGGGUGAAAGAGGGGGAUCGCAAGACCUCUCGCGAUUGGAUGAGCCGAUGUCGGAUUAGCUAGUUGGCGGGGUAAUGGCCCACCAAGGCGACGAUCCGUAGCUGGUCUGAGAGGAUGAUCAGCCACACUGGAACUGAGACACGGUCCAGACUCCUACGGGAGGCAGCAGUGGGGAAUAUUGGACAAUGGGCGCAAGCCUGAUCCAGCCAUACCGCGUGGGUGAAGAAGGCCUUCGGGUUGUAAAGCCCUUUUGUUGGGAAAGAAAUCUUUCAGGCUAAUACCCUGGGAGGAUGACGGUACCCAAAGAAUAAGCACCGGCUAACUUCGUG